CUCCCAUCUCCAAAACACAUCCAGGUCAGACGAAACUGGACACCCCCCCGGACAUGAUGUUGGGACUAGAGGCCACACAGAGCAGGAGACGGAAGAAAUAGAUUUGUUUAGAUGGUUCAUAUUGCACCCCCCUGUGUGCUGGGCGUUGGACCUCAAGCAGCAUCGUCAUCACGGUCCUGAAGACUCAUUUCUUUGCCUUUGUCAUGGAAGCUGAAGAGAGCUGGACGCUUCGUUGCACAUCUCCCUGUGCUAAUCCAGGGAGCUCCGACUCAGAGCCUUCGGAAAAUGAAUGGUAAAAGAAAAAAGCCACCCAUCCACUAUAGUUAAGGGCUGUAACUAUGUUUAAAUGUUUUAAUGCAAAUGUAUACUAUAGGUGUGGAACCAAAGAAGGUCUUUUUAA
rnacentral:lncRNA from 1 species